UUUAUCCCAGUUCAGUUGGUAGAGCUUGAGACUCUUAAUCUCAAGGUCAUGGGUUCGAGCCCCACAUUAGGCAAAA